CGUACGAGAACUCCUUAGCUUGCUAAGGAUAGUAAAGUGGCGCACGGGUGAGUAACGCGUGAGUAAUCUACCCUGGAAAUCGGGAUAACAUUGCGAAAGUGAUGCUAAUACCGAAUGAUAUCUAAUUUGCUUUGGCUUUUUAGAUCAAAGGUGGCCUCUAUUUAUAAGCUACUGUUUUGGGAUGAGCUCGCGUACCAUUAGCUUGUUGGUAGGGUAAUGGCCUACCAAGGCUACGAUGGUUAGCUGGUCUGAGAGGAUGAUCAGCCACACUGGAACUGACACACGGUCCAGACUCCUACGGGAGGCAGCAGUGAGGAAUUUUGCGCAAUGGGGGAAACCCUGACGCAGCAACGCCGCGUGAGUGAUGAAGGCUUUCGGGUCGUAAAGCUCUGUCAAGUGGGAAGAAAAAGGAAAGUUAUAAUAUGACUUUCCUCUGACGGUACCACUAAAGGAAGCACCGGCUAACUCCGUGCCAGCAGCCGCGGUAAUACGGGGGGUGCAAGCGUUAUUCGGAAUUAUUGGGCGUAAAGGGCGCGCAGGCGGUCGCUUAAGUCAGAUGUGAAAGCCCGGGGCUUAACCUCGGAAGUGCAUUUGAAACUAAGUGACUUGAGUAUGGGAGAGGGAAGUGGA
rnacentral:rRNA from 1 species